CUCUCUCUCUCUCUCUCUAACGGACACACAUAACGACUUUCAACCAUAAACAGCUGUCAGAGAAUUGCCAGAUAGCCACUACGGACUGAAUUCACAUGCACUUUCCACCUCCCUUCCUUCAUUCCUCGAGCAAACAGAAGAGUGAAAGGAGAGAGCGUUGAGCGUUUAGAGGUGACAUUAUUACACAAGAGAAGAUUUGUGUAAGUUGAGUUCGCUGUGUGCUGUGGUGGUGGUGGCGACGGCGGCGGCGGCGCUGUUGUUACCAAGAGAGAGAAGGGAGGUUGCUAAGGAGAGGAUGCAAGAGGUUUUGUGUGAGGUGGAGAAGGGCGAGGCAGUCACGUGAUGAGGCCAGUAGCACCUGGUGAUAAGUAAACGAGGCCUUACCUGUCCGCUCUUCCAACAGGGUGGCAGCAAGGAUGGGGGCCUUGGGAAGGUGGCAGGACAGGUGAUGGCCUUCAGUCUUGUUUUGUGGAGGAGGGGAAUGUGAAGGUCCCACCAACAUCACUUUAAUGCAGCUCCUGAAUCUUUGGAGUCCACCCAAGAGAGAGACAACAACCUCCAGAACUUUCAGCAGCAAGAGAAGGUCAAGAGGUGCAGAGAUCUCUGAGGUCUGUGAGACAGGCAGCUGGAUCCCACCACUGCUCGGGACUCGACUCUCCAUCCGGGCAUGAACAACGCCUACAACAGCAGGCUGGGACCACACUUCAAGGGCCUCCACACACCACACCUGGAAGAAGUCUUGAUGAAUUUUCUGUAUGUUUUUU